UACGUAGGGGGCAAGCGUUGUCCGGAUUUAUUGGGCGUAAAGAGCGUGUAGGCGGCCUUACAGGUCAGCUGUGAAAACUCGAGGCUCAACCUCGAGACGUCGGUUGAAACCGUAAGGCUAGAGUCCGGAAGAGGAGAGUGGAAUUCCCGGUGUAGUGGUGAAAUGCGUAGAUAUCGGGAGGAACACCAGUGGCGAAGGCGACUUCCUGGCCUGUUCUUGACGCUGAGGCGCGAAAGCUAGGGGAGCAAACGGG
rnacentral:rRNA from 1 species